rnacentral:rRNA from 1 species
CCUACGGGAGGCUGCAGUCGAGAAUCUUCGGCAAUGGGCGCAAGCCUGACCGAGCGACGCCGCGUGUGGGAUGAAGGCCUUCGGGUUGUAAACCACUGUCAGAGGGGAGGCCUAGCCUCAGAGGAAGGACGGGCUAAGUUCGUGCCAGCAGCCGCGGUAAGACGAACCGUCCAAACGUUAUUCGGAAUUACUGGGCUUAAAGGGUGCGUAGGCGGCGCGGAAAGUAGGGUGUGAAAUCCCUCGGCUUAACCGAGGAACUGCGUCCUAAACUACCGUGCUCGAGGGAGAUAGAGGUGAGCGGAACUUAGGGUGGAGCGGUGAAAUGCGUUGAUAUCCUAAGGAACACCGGUGGCGAAAGCGGCUCACUGGAUCUCUCUGACGCUGAGGCACGAAAGCUAGGGUAGCGAACGGGAUUAGAUACCCUUGUAGUC